CAGCAGCCGCGGUAAUACCGGCAGCCCGAGUGAUGGCCGAUCUUAUUGGGCCUAAAGCGUCCGUAGCUGGCCGCACAAGUCCAUCGGAAAAUCCACCCGCUCAACGGGUGGGCGUCCGGUGGAAACUGUGUGGCUUGGGACCGGAAGGCGCGACGGGUACGUCCGGGGUAGGAGUGAAAUCCUGUAAUCCUGGACGGACCGCCGAUGGCGAAAGCACGUCGCGAGAACGGAUCCGACAGUGAGGGACGAAAGCUAGGGUCUCGAACCGGAUUAGAUACCCGGGUAGUCCUAGCCGUAAACGAUGCCUGCUAGGUGUGGCUCCCACUACGAGUGGGUGCUGUGCCGUAGGGAAGCCGCUAAGCAGGCCGCCUGGGAAGUACGUCCGCAAGGAUGAAACUUAAAGGAAUUGGCGGG
rnacentral:rRNA from 1 species